UACGUAGGGAGCAAGCGUUGUCCGGAUUUAUUGGGCGUAAAGAGCUCGUAGGCGGUUCGGUAAGUCGGGUGUGAAAACUCUGGGCUCAACCCAGAGAUGCCACUCGAUACUGCUGUGACUUGAGUCUGGUAGGGGAGCACGGAAUUCCUGGUGUAGCGGUGAAAUGCACAGAUAUCAGGAGGAACACCGGUGGCGAAGGCGGUGCUCUGGGCCAGUACUGACGCUGAGGAGCGAAAGCGUGGGGAGCGAACAGG
rnacentral:rRNA from 1 species